UGCGGGGCUGUCCUCAGACUGCCAUAUGUGAACUGUCAUACACGUGCCCAUAUUCACACAUAUGUACACACUGUACACACAAACACACACACACACACACACACACACACACACACACACACACACACACACACCAGAACCUUCAGCAUGCUGGACAAUUGCUCUACCACUAAGCAACACAGCCUUAUUUUGAGACCGGGUCUCAUUAAGUUGAUCAUACUCUGUACCCCAUGUAGGUCUUGAAGACGUGAUCCUGCUGCUUCCGCUUGGACUAGCUGAGAUUACAAGUGUAUGCCAGUAGGUGUGGCUUCGUAUUUUGAGGCAGGGUUUCACCGUGUAGCCUAGGCUGGCCUGGAAUCCUCUGUGUAGACCAAGCUGAUGCUGAGCACACAAGAGUUGCCCUGCCUACCAAGUGCUGAGGAUAAGGUAUACCUAGCACAAUGGUGUGUCUCAACGCAGGGGCAUCUUAACUUUGAUGGGUAUCUAGUGUCUACCGUAACAACCUUCUUUGCAGUUCACCUUAGUCAUUCAGAACUUUUGGUUGCAAGUCGAGCAACUUCCCCUCAAAACAAGAAAAAAUUUGGCCCAGUAGUUGGACAGAAUGCUGGGCACAGAUCACUGGGUUAGAGGAAGACCUGCAGGGAUCCUAAGAGUGGGUUUCAACUCUGUUAGAUUUCUGCCCAUCUUUUAUCUCUGCUUAAUUUACCAAUAGGCUUUCUCUUCUCUAGGUCAGCCCCAAAUGUAACAAUCCCAGGAGGAAAAGAACCCUGGAGAGAUGUGCUACUGCCUCUGUAUCAAUCUUAGGGAGAAGUCCAGAUUGGCCCUCCUGGGAUCACAUGACUAUCUCUGUCCAGUCCUUGUGGCUAGAGAAAAGUGUAUCCUGAUGAUCCAACCACCAUUGACACAUCCUUCCCUAUAGCCAGAAAAUGUCACUGGAUGUGGGUAGGAGUGAGCUGGCCAUUAGCACCGUAUCACCCAAUGGUCAUUUUCAUAGGAUGCCACCCACUGUCCCCUGAGACAAGAGGAUCUUAGGAAGAAGAACAUUGGAAGUCUAUGGCUUCCCCUUCUCUUGUGAAGUGGUGCUCUAAUGUUGUUAAUCAGACCACAGAAAAUGAUGUUGUUUGAAGGAUUUAAUAAAGCAAUGAAAUACGCAUGUAAUAUACUGGAUGUAAUUAUGCUUCAACUCCUCACCCAGGGAGGAUUUGUUUGCAGACAGAUCUUUAACAGAAACAUGAAAAAGCUUUUAGAAAACCGAACCUGGAGCCGGGCGUGGUGGCACAUGCCUUUAAUCCCAGUACUCGGGAGGCAGAGGCAGGCGGAUUUCUGAGUUCGAGGCCAGCCUGGUCUACAAAGUGAGUUCCAGGACAGCCAGGGCUACACAGAGAAACCCUGUCUCAAAACAACAGCAACAACAACAACAAACAAACAAAAAAAACGAACCUGUGAAUUUGUCAUGUAGAAUUUAAGCCCCAAAGGUCUGGCUUUUUAACGCUGGCUUGAGAUUGUAUCUCUUCUGUU
rnacentral:lncRNA from 1 species